UGUUUCGGCUAGGGGGCCAUCCCGGCUUACCAACCCGAUGCAAACUGCGAAUACCGGAGAAUGUUAUCACGGGAGACACACGGCGGGUGCUAACGUCCGUCGUGAAGAGGGAAACAACCCAGACCGCCAGCUAAGGUCCCAAAGUCAUGGUUAAGUGGGAAACGAUGUGGGAAGGCCCAGACAGCCAGGAUGUUGGCUUAGAAGCAGCCAUCAUUUAAAGAAAGCGUAAUAGCUCACUGGUCGAGUCGGCCUGCGCGGAAGAUGUAACGGGGCUAAACCAUGCACCGAAGCUGCGGCAGCGACGCUGAUGCGUUGUUGGGUAGGGGAGCGUUCUGUAAGCCUGUGAAGGUGUGCUGU
rnacentral:rRNA from 1 species